AGAGUAUCUAAAAGUGCCAAAUGAAAUACUCGUGUGAAAAGCUUCUUAUUGCUUCAAGCUAGGAGUUAAUGUAUAAAUACGAGACAGAUUGAAUAUUGGCACAAUAAUGAAGUCGACGCUGUUGCUAUUAAUAGUCAUUCUCAGCCUGGUGGGAUUGGCCCCAGCUAAGCCACCAAAAAAGAAGAAUUUCGAGAUUUGGGUACGACCAGGUCCAGGGGAACCACCAAUGUGUCAAUAUGGCUGCCAAUAUGGCUGAUAAAAGGAGUUUUAUAAAAAUAAUAUAUUUGCCAAGAAAUAAACUUGUGAAACUUU